GCAGGGUUCAGGUGUAGCCGACGCCGAUGUAAUUUGGUGACUGAAUUUAUUUGGAGGAAAUGCCGUCUCGUACCAAGCUUCGAUUUCCUCGCUGAGAAGCUUACUACUCUCAGUCACGAUUUCUUCGUUCCGACAGGAGGGAAAUGGAGAUAUCACGUCGCGGAAUUCGAGCUCAAGGACGAUAGAUCGCAAAGCAUAAUGCACGAAUAGGUGGAAUGCCGACUACCUGUGACUAAUACGAAGAUAAAGGGCAAUCUCAUUUCUCUUUUUGGGGCACAUCUAAAAAUAGGACUGGCGUAUACGAGGAAUUUUAAAAAGGACACAAGAAAGUGAAAACACGUUUGGCGAGAAUCAACCUGGGCCAAAUCACAUUGGACUUCAUGGAAAUUGAGGAUUAUUAUUAUAUAUAAGCGUCGCGCAUUAUACUACAUAUGUCAGCAUUGUAAUAUUUGUGCAGUGUAAUAUUUGAUGCAUCUCCGCGAAAAGGUACACAUGCAUUGCGAAGCACACACAUGCACACGUGCACAUACAGAUUAUGAACAUUAUAUGAUAUCGUGGUAAUAAUUGUUUACGUGUAAAUUGGCAUAACGUUAAUUAUGAUACUGUUAGGGACAUUGCAAACAUAAUUUACUGGGUGAUCAAGGUACCAUUUAUUGCUUCGUAAUAGUCGCUGCGAGAUGUAACAUUUACGGUGCGCGCGCACGGAAACUCAUGGGGACUAUACGUG